GCCAAGUGCGGAGCGGAUAACCGCUGAAAGCAUCUAAGUGGGAAGCCCACCUCAAGAUGAGUGCUCUCAUGGAGUUAAUCCAGUAAGGUCACGGGCAGAACACCCGUUAAUAGGUUGUAGAUGGAAGCGUGGCAACAUGUGAAGUCGAGCAAUACUAACAGACCGAGGGCUUGACCUC
rnacentral:rRNA from 1 species